GGCGUCGUAGCCAAGUGGCUAAGGCAGUGGAUUGCAAAUCCACCAUACGUGGGUUCAACUCCCACCGACGCCU
rnacentral:tRNA from 1 species